rnacentral:rRNA from 1 species
CGGCCACAUUGGGACUGAGACACGGCCCAAACUCCUACGGGAGGCAGCAGUGGGGAAUCUUCCGCAAUGGGCGAAAGCCUGACGGAGCAAUGCCGCGUGAAUGAAGAAGGCCUUCGGGUCGUAAAAUUCUGUCCUUAUUGAAGAGAGGUUCAUGUGUAAACAAUGCAUGAAUAGGACGGUAGAUAAGGAGGAAGCCCCGGCUAACUACGUGCCAGCAGCCGCGGUAAUACGUAGGGGGCGAGCGUUGUCCGGAAUCACUGGGCGUAAAGGGCGCGUAGGCGGCCUAGUAAGUCAGAUGUGAAAAGUGAGGGCUCAACCCUUAGAGUGCAUCUGAUACUGCUAGGCUUGAGUACAGAAGAGGAAAGCGGAAUUCCUAGUGUAGCGGUGAAAUGCGUAGAUAUUAGGAGGAACACCAGUGGCGAAGGCGGCUUUCUGGGCUGAAACUGACGCUGAGGCGCGAAAGCGUGGGGAGCAAACAGGAUUAGAUACCCUGGUAGUCCACGCCGUAAACGAUGGGUACUAGGUGUCGGGGGUAUCGAUACCCUCGGUGCCGGAGUAAACACAAUAAGUACCCCGCCUGGGGAGUACGAUCGCAAGAUUGAAACUCAAAGGAAUUGACGGGGGCCCGCACAAGCGGUGGAGCAUGUGGUUUAAUUCGACGCAACGCGAAGAACCUUACCAAGACUUGACAUCCUGCUGACGGAUUGGGUAAUGCCGAUCGUUCUACUUCGGUAGACAGCAGAGACAGGUGGUGCAUGGUUGUCGUCAGCUCGUGUCGUGAGAUGUUGGGUUAAGUCCCGCAACGAGCGCAACCCUUGUCUUUAGUUGCCAGCAUUAAGUUGGGCACUCUAAAGAGACUGCCGGUGACAAACCGGAGGAAGGUGGGGAUGACGUCAAAUCAUCAUGCCCCUUAUGUCUUGGGCUACACACGUGCUACAAUGGUCGGUACAAAGGGCAGCGAGACCGCGAGGUGGAGCGAAUCCCAAAAAGCCGAUCCCAGUUCGGAUUGCAGGCUGCAACCCGCCUGCAUGAAGUCGGAAUCGCUAGUAAUCGCAGGUCAGCAUACUGCGGUGAAUACGUUCCCGGGCCUUGUACACACCGCCCGUCACACCACGAAAGUUGGUAACACCCGAAGCCGGUGGUCUAACCGCAAGGAGGAAGCUGUCGAAGGUGGGACUAAUGAUGGGGUGAAGUCGUAACAAGGUA